rnacentral:lncRNA from 1 species
GAUGAUGCAUUGACUGCGCGAAACAAUGGGGCACAAGGAAUUGGAUUAUGCCGGACAGAGCACAUGGUACGUCCGAUCCGACAUAGUUUAGCAGGCUAGGGAUACUUGGACAUUUUACUCUUCCUUUAGUUUCUUUGUCCUAGACAAGAAAAACAGUUUCAUGUUUUUUUCUCCCCCCUGUACUUGGGGCAGUUCUUUGCUUCAGACGAGAGGAUUAAGGCUGUCAGGCAGAUGAUUAUGGCUCCCACGCUUGAGCUGAGGCAGCAGGCGCUCGACCGUCUCUUGCCGUAUCAGAGGUCUGACUUCGAAGGCAUUUUCCGUGCUAUGGAUGGUAAGUGAAAAACCACAAUGCAUACAUGUUACAUGCAGGACUGCAUGGCCUGAACAUUCUCUUGGUAUCUUGCGUUUCAGGACUCCCGGUGACCAUCCGACUCCUGGACCCUCCCCUCCACGAGUUCCUUCCAGAAGGGAACAUCGAGGACAUUGUAAGUGAAUUAUGUGCUGAGACGGGAGCCAACCAGGAGGAUGCCCUCGCGCGAAUUGAAAAGCUUUCAGAAGUAAACCCGAUGCUUGGCUUCCGUGGGUGCAGGUUGGAAUUCUGCUACUAUAUUCACAGCAAAAAAAAGAAAAAAAAUCACUGGUGAUGCCUGAUUGACUAAUUUUGGAACUGCCGAAAUUUCCAGGCUUGGUAUAUCGUACCCUGAAUUGACAGAGAUGCAAGCCCGGGCCAUUUUUGAAGCUGCUAUAGCAAUGACCAACCAGGGUGUUCAAGUGUUCCCAGAGAUAAUGGUUCCUCUUGUUGGAACACCACAGGCAUGUGUCUUUUUACUUUUUAUAUAUCAAUGUAUGUACACAUACUGUCUCUACAGUUCAAAAAAAGUGACCAAAUCCAUUUGAUGCCAAAACCGCACAAACAAACAGCUAAUUAUAAUAGCUGACGUUUGGUAUUUCCAGGAACUGGGGCAUCAAGUGACUCUUAUCCGCCAAGUUGCUGAGAAAGUGUUCGCCAAUGUGGGCAAGACUAUCGGGUACAAAGUUGGAACAAUGAUUGAGAUCCCCAGGGCAGCUCUGGUGGCUGAUGAGGUAGGGAAAACCACCAAGUUCAGAAUCGCCCAGAACUUUGCGAACAAGUUUGUUUAUCUGUGCAUUCCUACGCUGGUCUGAAAUCUGUGGCUGUUGUUGUUGUUUUUUUGGUUUCGUCAACCUGGCAGAUAGCGGAGCAGGCUGAAUUCUUCUCCUUCGGAACGAACGACCUGACGCAGAUGACCUUUGGGUACAGCAGGGAUGAUGUGGGAAAGUUCAUUCCCGUCUAUCUUGCUCAGGGCAUCCUCCAACAUGACCCCUUCGAGGUAACUGUUGCAACUCUGCCUGCCACCCUCGCAUGUCGCAUCUGAUGUGACUGAGCAUCUCAUGUCGCGAUCACCUUUCUUUUGGUUGCCCGUAAACCUACCAGGUCCUGGACCAGAGGGGAGUGGGCGAGCUGGUGAAGUUUGCUACAGAGAGGGGCCGCAAAGCUAGGCCUAACUUGAAGGUUGGUUUUGGGACACUGCUUCGUACGUCUCCUUACUCCUUAGAAAACCACGGUUUGAUUGUUGUUUGGUGUUGGUGUGCAAACAGGUGGGCAUUUGUGGAGAACACGGUGGAGAGCCUUCGUCUGUGGCCUUCUUCGCGAAGGCUGGGCUGGAUUACGUUUCUUGCUCCCCUUUCAGGUCGGUUGAGUCACUGAUAAACUCGUGAUCGAAUAUCCAAUAAGCGUAUCCUCUUAUGUUAACGGUAGCAAAAAUGUUCACUGUUUUCUUUGAAUGCUUUCUGCAGGGUUCCGAUUGCUAGGCUAGCUGCAGCUCAGGUGCUUGUCUGAGGCUGCCUCCUCGUUGGCAACCGGAUUGCCUGCUGCUGGUGGAUGUGGUGAUCAACAGUAUUAUUACAGAGCCAUGCUAUGUGAACAUUACUAGUAGCAGUGCUCAUAAAAGCUACAAUCCCAUCUCCCUUUUUUUUCCAGUCAUGUAAAACUUCCAAACUGCUCCAUGGUUCAAAACUCUGUUCUUCAAUACAUCAUCAAUUAUCGAUUAUAUACGUGGCAAGGUUUUUUCUUUGUUUGCUUUUUUCUUUUCUUUCUGGCAUGUGUUUUUUUGGUUUUCUUGGUGUGUGUGUGAGGUGUGCAUGUCGCUGUUGAGGCCCUUGCUGCACAGACCACCUCAAACUUUAAGCCUCGAAAAAGCUGGUACUAUUUUUUUAGAACUCUGGAGUCUGGUCAAUAUGCAAUUGACUGGUUUGCUUCUGAGGCUCUUCUUGCAUUCAUGCCUUUACGGCCACUCUUUGGCACCUGUAACACAGGUAAAAAAAAUGUUAAAAGAUGGUUCAGGAACACAGCAGUUUUCAAGCCAGGGAAACUGUACUGUACAGAAACCAAGAGAUCGUUCGACAUACCUGUGCCCGCACAUCUACCUAACAUUCUCGAGGACCAUUGCCGAUCAAAGGCCCACACAUCGUCUUCUUGUUCCGGCAGUUGAUAAGAACCUAGUACAUAAGAGACAGUACAUCAUCAAAAUAAGGAGCAGGUGAAAAGCACCAUCUGCAGUAUGCAGUAUGCAACCUGGCACAUGGCAUACUAUGUGAUACUGUACAUGAGUACAGGAAAGGAUAGCUUAUUACAAUAUCGGUGAGUUACGACACACAAAUUAUAGACAUUUGUCAGGAUAAAGAAGUUAUGCCGUUUUGUUGCGCAGUGUCCCACGCCAUGAUUAAUCCAAACCACUGAUUGACUCAUUUUUUUCGGGGAUGACGGUGAAACGAAGCCUUAGCCUUAAUGGAUGGUUUUAUGGUAAUAGUAGUACCAAACUGCGAUGAUGAAUUUAUGGUGAUUAAUCCAAACCACUGAUUGACUCAUCAUCAUUUAGCAUGUCUAUAGUCUAUUAUUAUACUUCUAAUAAGAGCAAGUAUAAUAAAAUGCCACAUCAAAUUUAUGGUGAUAUGAAAAAGGAGAAUUAGAGAAGAGAAACAAACUGUUCACUAGUAUGCAACUAAAUACGAACUCUAAGACACUUUAUGAGAGUAAGAGAUGAAUUAAAUAUUAAACGUAUAACUUGUGUCAUGAGAGAGUUAUGAUAUAACUAGACUUUAUUGGUCUAUAUGUGGUAUGAUAAUGUCAUAAAGCCCACUAUAAACUAAGAGUAUAUUAUUAAUCUUGCUACGGUAAAUGAUUGGUUGCUUAUAUUGGCUCUCUUGGCCUGACUCUGCUCAUGCAAAAAGCGCCCUUCAGCAUGGCUCUCGAGAUGGGCCGCUAGAUACGAGCAAUUACCAAACAAUAAAAUUGUUAGUCCGUAAUUAGUUUAUUUAUUAAUUGAUUAAUAUAUUUCAAACACUAUUAACAAAUAACAAGAUAAAUUAUGAGCAAUAAAAUGGCUAUAAAUAAUAAACCUGGUGGUCAUGUUUAUUUACUUAAUUUAUCUUAUACAAUAAUGUAACCAAACAUUAUCUCCACUUGGCCAAACUAACUAUAUACAACUAUGUAAGUAAUUGCUUAUCUUUUUUCUUCCUCCUUGCUUACUAAAAGUAUCUAGGUCCCUUGUUGGUUUUAGUGAUUAAUGACAACAUAAGAUUAUAUGUGUCGGGGACCAUAAUUAGGGGUAUCCCCAAGACUCCUAAAUCUCAGCUGGUAACCGCAUCAGCCCAAGACUCCUAAAUCUCAGCUGGUAACCCCAUCAGCACAAAGUUGCAAAGGCCUGAUGAGUACGAUUAAGUCAAGGCUCGGUCCACUCGAGGGACAUGAUCUCGCCUCGCCCGAGCCCAGCCUCGGGCAAGGGCAGCCGACCCCGGAGGAUUCACGUCUCGCCCGAGGACCCCCUCAAGCGACGGACACACCUUCGGCUCGCCCGAGGCCCAGUCUUCAACGAGAAGCAACUUUGACCAGAUCGCCACGACAACCGACCGUAUCGCAGGAGCAUUUAAUGCAAAGGUGGCCUGACACCUUAUCCUGACGCACGCCCUUCAGUCGACUGAGUCGAAGUGACCGCAGUCACUUCGCCGCUCCACUGACCAGUCUGACAAAAGACAGCGCCGCCCGCAUCGCUCCGACUGCAGUGCCACUCGACAGAGUGAGGCUGACAGCGGCCAAGUCCGGCCUCGGGCGCCAUAGGAAGCUCCGCCUCGCCCGACUCAGGGCUCGGACUCGGGCUCGGCCCCGGAAGACGACGAACUCCGCCUCGCCCGACCUAGGGCUCGGACUCGGGCUCGGCCCCGGAAGACGACGAACUCCGCCUCGCCAGACCCAGGGCUCGGACUCGGGCUCGGCCCCGGAAGACGACGAACUCCGCCUCGCCCGACCCAGGGCUCAGACUCGGGCUCGGCCCCGGAAGACGACGAACUCCGCCUCGCCCGACCCCAGGGCUCGGACUCGACCUCGGCCCCAGCCAACGGUCUCCGUCUCGCCCGACCCAAGGGCUCGGACUCGACCUCGACCUCAGAAGACGGACUCGACCUCGACCUCGGAGGAGCCUCCGUCUCGCCCUACCCAGGGCUCGGACCGACCACGUCACAGGAGGGGCCAUCAUUACCCUACCCCUAGCUAGCUCUGGCUACGGGGAACAAGACCGGCAUCUCAUCUGGCUCGCGCCGGUAAAACAAAUAAUGAUGGCGCCCCGCGUGCUCCAUGACGACGGCGGCUCUCAGUCCCCUUACGGAAGCAAGGAAACGUCAGCAAGGACUCGACAGCCCCGACAGCUGUCCUUCCGCAAGGCUCCAGCGCUCCUCCGACGGCCACGACAUCACACGAACAGGGUGCCAAAACCUCUCCGGCUGCCACGACGGCAUGUACUUAGGGCACUAGCUCUUCUAUGCUAGACACGUCAGCACACUGCUACACCUUCCAUUGUACACCUGGACCCUCUCCUUACGUCUAUAAAAGGAAGGUCCAGGGCCCUCUUACAGAGGGUGGGCCGCGCGGGGAAGGACGGGACGGCGCGCGCGUAAGCCUCUCGCUCCCUCCCGCGCGGACGCUUGUAACCCCCUACUGCAAGCGCACCCGACCUGGGCGCGGGACAAACACGAAGGCCGUGGGUUUCCCCUUUUACGCCUGUCUCCCUCCGACUUUUCCCCCCUUCGCGCUCCGUCUCGCGCCGACCCAUCUGGGCUGGGGCACGCGGUGACAAUUUACUCGUCGGUCCAGGGACCCCCCGGGGUCGAAACGCCGACAGUUGGCGCGCCAGGUAGGGGCCUGCUGCGUGUUGACGAACAGCUUCCCGUCAAGCUCCAGAUGGGUAGUCUCCAGCAACCUUUCCAGCCCGGGAUGGUGCUCCGUUUCGGGAGUCUUGAGUUCAUGUCCCUCGACGGCAGCUACGACAUGAUACUCCUUCCCACGCCGCGCGACAGCGACAAUGGUGGCCGACAACCCGCCCACCGGCGGCGGAAUCGACGACGUCUUCCCCACGUGGCGGAAGAACAACAUUCGGGUUUGUCCCGUCGCCUCCCCCACCGACGGAGGAGGAGGCGGGGCAACCAAGGCCAAGCAGGAGGCGGCACCUCGUCGGCUGUCGAGCGAGUCGACGGCGCCGGUGCCCCAACGGGGGACACGUCGGGCAUCGACUUCGCGUCUGAGACGAAGACGAGCACCGUUUC